rnacentral:lncRNA from 1 species
UUCUUCGUCUCAUCUGCUAACAAUUUAUAUUUGUAAUCUACUAUCUACUUGCGUAGUAGAGUAAGGACCGACAAUUUAUAACUGACAAUCUACAGUAAAACUCGAUUUCCUUGAAUUUCAUUUAUCAAAUCCGAUUUAUCGAAGCGCCAGGCUCUCGAUAAUAACUGAAUAUAUAAAUUAUUAAUCACACAAAGUAAAAAUGGACAAGAUUUUAUUUAUUAUUUAGUCUAUAUGAUGAUUUAGACUUUUUUUUUCAUAUAUAUGAUCCUUCUCUAAUAUAUUCCAGAGAGAGACUCGGGACGAGUAAUUUUCUAUAUCUCGAAAUAGAAUCAAGUACCUGCCUAAUACAUAUAUACAAUAUAUAUUUCUGUAUAUAUGUUUAUACAUAGGAAAUAUAUACAUAUAUACAUAUAUAAUGUAAUGAAAGACAAAACUCGUAUUACACUCUUACAGCAUUGAAGAGAGAAAGAUAAAAAAUAGAAAUAGAGCUAUAUCCACAAUUACUGCUAUUUAUUAUUAAUAUUUGAAACGUACGCGUUUUCCCUUCCACAUCUUGCACAUUCGCUUUUCCUACGUUCAUUUCUUUGUGAUCCGUGCAACGUUAUUUAAAUUAUUAAUCAAUAUUGUGUACCGUUUAUAAAUAACAUCCAACGUGAAACAAAAAUGAAAAGCAAAGUUCAUACAACUUCACGUGACUUCGCUCAUAAUGACAUAUACGAAAAGGAAGAUGUAACCAAAUUUCCCAGGAAGAGGAAGGUGACGAAAUAGAUCAAGAUGAUCUAGAAGAUGAA